GCCUCCUCUCUAUGUACUGUUGUGCUCGUACAGAUUGUACUUCACGCGGUGAGGGAAAAAAAUGCGGGCCAAACUAGCUUCUCGCCAGACUCUCUUCCUCCCCAAACCCUCUCCUUUCCCAUCCCGUUCUUCCUUGCGCCGGCGGCGCCAACAGAGGUAGCUGUGGCGAGUAGGCAGCCGAGGCACGUUGGUCACCAUCCUCUCCUCUCCCUCGUUUCCUUGAGACGGCUGUCGGCCAUCUCUAGGAGCAGGGGUGUCUAGCAUCUAGAUCUGGACAGACGGGCAGCAACCGCCCACCUUGGGGCGGACGGGGGGAGAGAUGGGGCGGCAACCUGGAGCCAUGGAUGACGGCAGUCUUGUCGAGGCUGACGCAUCGGGAGGUCGGCUACAGGACGUAGAGCAGCAAGGGGCAGCAAUUUGGUUUGGGAUUUUGGGAAAGGAAGUGCUCUGCACCUUGGUGAAUUAACGGCACCAGCUCGUACUGCUCAUACAUACAGGAGCGGGAGUUCCAACUCUUCCAUGGAGUGGAUCACAUCUUCUCCAAAUGGACGUGCAAGGCAACCGAGAUGAGAAGAGACCUGCUGAUUUGCGCUUGCGGGAGCAUGUCUGUGGCUUGACUAUGAUGUGUGCAUUAUGGGGAUUUCCGGGUUUCCUCUUCAUGUGUUAUUCAAAAGUUGAGUUGAGUGCAUUGUACCAUUGAAUUGCUGCUAUGUGUUUACCAGUAUAAUGUUGUAGUAGCUAAAAGAAUUUUACUUGGUGCGUUGUGUUUACCAACUCAUGGUAUGCCCUGUAAUUACAGGGACUUCAUGGUAGAUUUGGUCAAAAGACAAGCAAGGCAAUUGAGCUGCGGAGAGACCUGCUGAUUUGGAUUUGCGGGAGCGUUUCUCGGAUGGCUUGACUAUGAUCUCCGAGGGAUAUCUGAAUUUCCGAUUCAUGUCUUAUUCAAAGUCUAGCUGACCAAAGUCUACCAUUGUACUGGUUCAUGUGUGUUUACCAAAUCUGCAGUAGGUAAAUGAGUUUUACUUGGCAUACAAA